rnacentral:tRNA from 1 species
GCCGGGGUGGCGGAAUUGGUAGACGCACUGGACUCAAAAUCCAGCGGUGCAAACCGUGAGGGUUCGAGUCCCUCCCUCGGCACCA